rnacentral:rRNA from 1 species
GAUAAACACUUGCGGUGUGCCUUAUGCAUGCAAGUCGAACGGUCUUGAUUUAUCAAGAUAGUGGCGAACGGGUGAGUAACACGUAAGUAACCUGCCCUCAAGUAGGGGAUAACUCUGAGAAAUUAGAGCUAAUACCGUAUGUGGUGGUAGGGGUAAUGCCCUAUUACUAAAGCCUUAGGGCGCUUGGGGAGGGGCUUGCGUCCGAUUAGCUAGUUGGUAGGGUAACGGCUUACCAAGGCGAUGAUCGGUAGCUGGUUUGAGAGGACGGCCAGCCACACUGGGACUGAGACACGGCCCAGACUCCUACGGGAGGCAGCAGCAAGGAAUAUUGUGCAAUGGGCGAAAGCCUGACACAGCGACACCGCGUGGGGGAUGAAGGCCUUCGGGUUGUAAACCCCUUUUCUCAGGGAAGAAUAAUGACGGUACCUGAGGAAUAAGUC